rnacentral:tRNA from 1 species
AGGGAUGUAGCUCAGCAGUAGAGCCCUUGUCUAACAUGCAUAAGGCCCUGGGUUCAAUCCCCAGCACCACAA